AUACGGAGGGUGCAAGCGUUGUUCGGAAUUACUGGGCGUAAAGCGCGCGUAGGCGGUCUGUUAUGUCAGAUGUGAAAGUCCUCGGCUCAACCGGGGAAGUGCAUUUGAAACUGGCAGACUUGAGUACUGGAGGGGGUGGUGGAAUUCCCGGUGUAGAGGUGAAAUUCGUAGAUAUCGGGAGGAAUACCGGUGGCGAAGGCGACCACCUGGCCAGAUACUGACGCUGAGGUGCGAAAGCGUGGGGAGCAAACAGGAUUAGAAACCCCGGGUAGUCC
rnacentral:rRNA from 1 species